GACGGGUAGGGGACAUGAGAGUGUGAUCCCCAACAAGGGCAUUGAGAUACGGGCCCUACUCCUACGGGAGGCAGCAGUCGAGAAUCUUUCGCAAUGGGGGAAACCCUGACGAAGCGACACCGCGUGUUUGAAGAAGCCCUUCGGGGUGUAAAAAACUUUUCUAUCUGAGAAACCUUCGGGUGAUGUUAGGAUAGGGAUAAGGGGAGGCUAAUCAUGUGCCAGAAGCCCCGGUAAUACAUGAUCCCCAAGCGUUAUCCGGAUUUAUUGGGCGUAAAGCGUUCGUAGGCUCCUUUUUAGGUUUUCUGUUAAAGAUUGAGGCUCAACCUCAAGAAUGCAGAAAAAACCGGGAAGGUAGAGGGCAUUAGGGGCUGAUGGAACGGUCGGUGUAGGAGUGAAAUCCGUUGAUAUCGACCGGAACACCAAAAGCGAAGGCAUUCAGCUGGGGUGACCCUGACGCUGAGGAACGAAAGCGUGGGUAGCGAACGAGAUUAGAUACCUCGGUAGUCCACGCCGUAAACGAUGAAUACUAGCUAUUUGAAGUGUCGACCCUUCAAGUGGCGAAGCUAACGCGUUAAGUAUUCCGCCUGGGAAGUACGGCCGCAAGGCUAAAACUCAAAGGAAUAGACGGGGCUUUACACAAGCGGUGGAUCAUGUGGCUUAAUUCGAUGAUAAGCGAAGAACCUCACCAGGGCUUGACACCUAGACGAAAGUCUACAGAAACGUAGACCCUCGCAAGACGGCUAGGCAGGUGCUGCAUGGUUGUCGUCAGCUCGUACUAUGAAGCGUACGCUUAAGCGCGGUAACGAGCGCAACCCUCGCCCUAUGUUUUAUAUGUCAUAGGGAACUGCCCGGGAUAACUGGGAGGAAGGCGAGGAUGACGCCGAAUCAGCAUGGCCCUUUGACGCCCUGGGCUGCACACGUGAUACAAUGGGACCGACAAUGGGCGAAGUCGCAAGACGGAGGUUAUCCCACCAAACGGUCUCUCAGUCCGGAUUGAGGUCUGAAACCCGACCUCAUGAAGCCGGAAUCGCUAGUAAUCGCCGGUCAGCCAUACGGCGAUGAAUAUGUUCCUAAAGCUUGUACUCACCGCCUGUCACACCAGGAGAGCUGGCAGUACCCGAAAUCCUUGCUCUGCAGGGCCUAAGGUAAGGUCAGUAAUAAGGGUGAAGUCAUAACAAGGCAUCGGUAGCGGAAGCUGUCGAUG
rnacentral:rRNA from 1 species